GCAAUCAUCUGAGCGCCUGUGAUCUUUUUUGAAAGCGGUGUUCACACGAGUCUCCGACUUCAUCCACUUUCUGUAUUAAUUUUUAUGACUCGGCCUCUGAAAAGGAGUGCGUUUUAUGUGCUCUUGUGUUUGACACAAUUCCCCAGCUGAGAGUUACAGAUCCAUUUCUUCUCCUCCUUUCUCUUCUCCUUUCGUUCUAUUCCCCCCCCCCCUUUUAAUUUAUUAAUUUAUUUGUUCCCUUCAUUCCUUCCUUCUCUCCUCUUCCGAUCCCUCCUUGCUUUUCUUGGCUUCUUUUCCUGUUUUGCUCCCUCGUCUCGCUUCUUGCCCCUCCCAUCCCCCCAUUAUUCUACCCCAUCCCCCUGUUUCCCCUCACUUCCCCGGGCUGUCGCCUGCUAUACCACGCUUCCCCCAAUCUCCUUGCUCUUUCCCCCGAUCCCAUAUUCACGCUGAUCCUGCUGCCGGCUCCCCGGCCGUCUCCCCAACUUUACCCACCUCUCUCUCCCCUCCCUCGACUUUUCCACGGCGCUCCCGCAACCCCACGCUGUCCCCCGCCCGUCCCCUUCCCCCUCCGCACUUUGCCCCUUCUCUGCCCCCUUGCCCUCCUCUCCCCGCGCCCCGCUCUGUUUUGUGUCUCCUGCAGCUGCAGAGCAAUAUCUUCGCCAGCCUCGAUGAGACCCUGCUGGCGCGGGCCGAGGCUCUGGCCGCCGUCGACAUCGCCGUCUCGCAGGGCAAGAGCCACCCGUUCAAGCCCGACGCCACGUACCACACCAUGAACAGCGUGCCCUGCACCUCCACCUCCACCGUGCCCCUGGCGCACCACCACCACCAUCACCACCACCACCACCAGGCGCUGGAGCCCGGCGACCUCCUGGACCACAUCACCUCGCCCUCCCUCGCGCUCAUGCCCGGCGGAGGCGGCGGCGGAGGCGGCGGCGGAGGCGGCCACGACGGGGCGGCCCCCCCCCCCCCCCCCCCCCCCCCCCCCCCCCCCCCCCCCCCCCCCCCCCCCCCCCCCCCCCCCCCCCCCCCCCCCCCCCCCCCCCCC
rnacentral:lncRNA from 12 species